rnacentral:rRNA from 1 species
CUCCUGUCGCUUCCAGAACGAUGAGGUUGACAGUGUAGGAUUUUAGGGUUUCGACCAGUUUAGAUAUGUCCUCCUUUGUGUUAGCAACUUUCAUCGCUUUACCGAGGGGACGGAGGUAAACAUCUAGGGUCGCUUUACUAAUGUCAAUGCCUACCCAUUGAGAGAUAUUUUCCAUGAUUGAACCUGAGAAAUUGGCGGGAUUAAUGGUUAUUUUGGAGAGCAUCCCCUUGAUUUUACUCAUCCUUGCCCGAUACGGUCU